CAAUAGCGUAUAUUAAAGUUGUUGCGGUUAAAAAGCUCGUAGUUGGAUUUCUGCUGAGAACGACCGGUCUGCCCUUUGGGUGUGUAUCUGGCUCUUUCUUGGCAUCUUCUUGGUGAACGUUGCUGCACUUGACUGUGUGGAGCGCUACCCAGGACUUUUACUUUGAGGAAAUUAGAGUGUUUCAAGCAGGCAUACGCCUUGAAUACAUUAGCAUGGAAUAAUAAGAUAGGACCUCGGUUCUAUUUUGUUGGUUUCUAGAGCUGAGGUAAUGAUUAAUAGGGAUAGUUGGGGGCAUUCGUAUUUAACUGUCAGAGGUGAAGUUCUUGGAUUUGUUAAAGACGGACUACUGCGAAAGCAUUUGCCAAGGAUGUUUNCAUUGA
rnacentral:rRNA from 1 species